GAGUAUCAGCCUGGUGCUAGCUACUCCUGAUGGACCUUUGUGCUGCUGACAUGCCCGCCGGUCCUGGCCAAGGAUGUGGGUCUUCUGCCCACGUGGGAGACUGCAUGGAGUGGGGGCUCCUGCCUUUGUCGUGGCCCAACCCCAGCUGUUGCAGAUGUUUGGGGUUAAAGCAGUGGAGGGCAGAGCAUGCUGUCUCGCCCCCACCCCCUCAGAUCAACCUUCUCAGACGACCGUGCUGACUGGGCUUGCGGCUGGGAUUUCUCUGGGGAUCUUUUGAUUUUGCUUCAGCAUCUUUUUUUCCAAAUUGGGCAACUUGUAUCAACAUAUCCUCAAGUUCAUGGAUGGAUUUGUGAGCUUUCUGCAUUUUAGAUACUGUAUUUUCCAUUUCUGAAUUCCUUUCUCUUUCUGCGGAGUUCUCCACAUGCAGCAUGGUCGUGAGCCACUGUGGAGACCUUACCUGGUGGCGCUCACCCCGGAACGCUGUCGGGAAAGGAAUCUGCCAGUGUGGGGUCCCCGUUCCUGCAGGCCAGUGUAGAACAGUAAAUCAUCCUCAGUGCUAGCCGCCCCUUCAGCAGCCUCUCCAGCCCCGCACUGAGUGGGUGCUGUGACACACAGCCGUGUGUUCCUGUGGUACCCACCAUCUGUGAGCUGGCCCCUGAUGAGCUGCCUCCAGGCACAGUGAAGAGGCGGUGAGCAUGUGCUGGCCUUGGGUGACUUAGCUCCCUGACCCCUGCCCCUGGCUACACCUGGAACAGCCGACUCGGAAGCGGGUGCACGCCUGAGCAGAUGGCUGUGGUAAGCUCGGGCUCGCAGUUUGCUCUUGGCCUGUGUAACCCUGAGCUGGCUUACUCACCCUCUGUGCUACUCACUCUGCCCCUGUCCCCUCUUCCUGGAAGGAACUGUAGAUGCUGGACACGAAGGGUGGCCCCGUGGUAGGGGUUUGUUGGGGAGGCUGGCAAGAGCUGGGCCUGGGGGUGAGGACAGUAGCUGGAGUUCCCGGGGCUCCCCGGCGGGGACACAGGCAGAAUCCCUGGCUUCCCAGCUCUCCCAAUCCACGCCAGCUGCUACAAUCACCUGGGGUUGUGGAGUUUAGGUCCCUGGAGGUCAGGAGUCUCAGCGUGUCUGGCUGUAAAAUGACUUUAGUGGUCAGGGCUCAAGGGAGGGAGGGGAAGCCCCAGCUCAAC